ACGGGUGAGUAAUAUAUCGGAACGUGCCCAGUCGUGGGGGAUAACUGCUCGAAAGAGCAGCUAAUACCGCAUACGACCUGAGGGUGAAAGCGGGGGAUCGCAAGACCUCGCGCGAUUGGAGCGGCCGAUAUCAGAUUAGGUAGUUGGUGGGGUAAAAGCCCACCAAGCCAACGAUCUGUAGCUGGUCUGAGAGGACGACCAGCCACACUGGGACUGAGACACGGCCCAGACUCCUACGGGAGGCAGCAGUGGGGAAUUUUGGACAAUGGGCGCAAGCCUGAUCCAGCCAUGCCGCGUGCGGGAAGAAGGCCUUCGGGUUGUAAACCGCUUUUGUCAGGGAAGAAAAGGUUCUGGAUAAUACCCGGGACUCAUGACGGUACCUGAAGAAUAAGCACCGGCUAACUACGUGCCAGCAGCCGCGGUAAUACGUAGGGUGCAAGCGUUAAUCGGAAUUACUGGGCGUAAAGCGUGCGCAGGCGGUUAUGCAAGACAGAGGUGAAAUCCCCGGGCUCAACCUGGGAACUGCCUUUGUGACUGCAUAGCUAGAGUACGGUAGAGGGGGAUGGAAUUCCGCGUGUAGCAGUGAAAUG
rnacentral:rRNA from 1 species